GUAGCUCAGUUGGUUAGAGCACAUCACUCAUAAUGAUGGGGUCACAGGUUCGAAUCCC
rnacentral:tRNA from 21 species